rnacentral:rRNA from 1 species
GGUUAAGCGACUAAGCGUACACGGUGGAUGCCCUGGCAGUCAGAGGCGAUGAAGGACGUGCUAAUCUGCGAAAAGCGUCGGUAAGGUGAUAUGAACCGUUAUAACCGGCGAUGUCCGAAUGGGGAAACCCAGUGCAAUUCGUUGCACUAUCGUUAACUGAAUACAUAGGUUAACGAGGCGAACCGGGGGAACUGAAACAUCUAAGUACCCCGAGGAAAAGAAAUCAACCGAGAUUCCCCCAGUAGCGGCGAGCGAACGAGGAGCAGCCCAGAGUCUGAAUCAGCUUGUGUGUUAGUGGAACGGUCUGGAAAGUCCGACGGUACAGGGUGAUAGUCCCGUACACCAAAAUGCACAGGCUGUGAACUCGAAGAGUAGGGCGGGACACGUGGUAUCCUGUCUGAAUAUGGGGGGACCAUCCUCCAAGGCUAAAUACUCCUGACUGACCGAUAGUGAACCAGUACCGUGAGGGAAAGGCGAAAAGAACCCCGGCGAGGGGAGUGAAAAAGAACCUGAAACCGUGUACGUACAAGCAGUGGGAGCACCUUCGGGUGUGACUGCGUACCUUUUGUAUAAUGGGUCAGCGACUUAUAUUCUGUAGCAAGGUUAACCGUAUAGGGGAGCCGCAGGGAAACCGAGUCUUAACUGGGCGUUAAGUUGCAGGGUAUAGACCCGAAACCCGGUGAUCUAGCCAUGGGCAGGUUGAAGGUUGGGUAACACUAACUGGAGGACCGAACCGACUAAUGUUGAAAAAUUAGCGGAUGACUUGUGGCUGGGGGUGAAAGGCCAAUCAAACCGGGAGAUAGCUGGUUCUCCCCGAAAGCUAUUUAGGUAGCGCCUCGUGAAUUCAUCUUCGGGGGUAGAGCACUGUUUCGGCUAGGGGGUCAUCCCGACUUACCAACCCGAUGCAAACUACGAAUACCGAAGAAUGUUAUCACGGGAGACACACGGCGGGUGCUAACGUCCGUCGUGAAGAGGGAAACAACCCAGACCGCCAGCUAAGGUCCCAAAGUCAUGGUUAAGUGGGAAACGAUGUGGGAAGGCACAGACAGCCAGGAUGUUGGCUUAGAAGCAGCCAUCAUUUAAAGAAAGCGUAAUAGCUCACUGGUCGAGUCGGCCUGCGCGGAAGAUGUAACGGGGCUAAACCAUGCACCGAAGCUGCGGCAGCGACACUAUGUGUUGUUGGGUAGGGGAGCG